rnacentral:tRNA from 1 species
GGAGAGGUGACAGAGUGGUCGAUUGUGGCGGUCUCGAAAACCGUUGUCCCUCACGGGACCGUGGGUUCGAAUCCCACCCUCUCCGCCA